GGAUGAUAAUAUUGCUAUGUAUGGUUCAUCAAGAAGACACCAGCCGCUUGCUGCUGAGUUAUCCUUUGCCUCGAACGAGUGGCGCGCACAAAAGCUCAAACAGAUGUGACCGGAGAAACGAAGAUAUUUAUUUAUUUAUAGCAAAAGAAUUUUUCUUCCGCCCUUUUCUUUUUCCUUCAAGAAAGAUAGAGGGGAAGAUCGUCUUCUUUAAAAGUGAUACCAAGAUCUAUCGUUGGAAUGGCCGCGAUGAGUACCCGAACCGCCUUCCACGGCGUCCCACUUCCAAUAUUUCAGCCAGCCUCGCCGCCCUCACGUCCUUACCGUCUAUUAGUCCGAUCUAAAGUAGAGCCUUCUGAAAAGUCUGUUGACAUAAUGAGGAGGUUCUCAGAGAAGUAUGCACAACAAUCUGGAACAUAUUUCUGUGCUGAUAAAGGAGUUACCUCUGUUGUCAUCAAGGGGCUGGCUGAUCACAAAGAUUCACUUGGAGCACCACUCUGUCCUUGCAGGCAUUAUGAUGACAAAGCUGCUGAGGUGGGACAGGGAUUUUGGAAUUGCCCAUGCGUACCUAUGCGAGAAAGGGAUAAUGAUAAUGGUGGGCUGAUGAAGGAGGUGAUGAUGUAACAAGAUCAAGUGUUGUGGUAUUGAGCAAUGACUGAUGCUACUUGCAAAUUGAUCUGGAUGGAAGUAUCAAACAGUUACAUUAUCAGUAGUCCAAUGAGAAUGUCUAGCGGUAAUCGAGUUGUGAUUUUCAUGAAGGAAUGCCAUUGUAUGCUUUUUCUCACCCCUGAUAAUGAUUUUGCUGGGACAGAACAGACCAUCACCUUGGACGAGAUCAAAGAAGCAACAUCAAAAGUUUAACCAGUACUGUGUUAGUUUCCCGUAUUUUAUCUGUCAAGUGGCCAACUAAUGUAUGUGUAUGUUGUAAGCAUAUAAUAGUCCUGGAGAGACCUUUUCAUUUAUCCUUUCCAAGAGCAUAGCAGCAUGUAAAUUAUCCCCAGGUUAUGUUAGGUGCAGUACUGAUUUGUUUGCACAUGUGCAACCAGGCAAACUUGGAGCACAGAAUUUCCCUUUUUCAUAAGUUGAAUUCAUGCCGACGGGAGGGUAUGCAGGGUGAACAAUGCUGCAUCCAUGAUCUGCAACUACCAAGAUACAAUAUUAUUUCAGUCCGAUUACCAUUUUGGCUGUGGUAAAACUUACAGGAGUGGCCAGACAUGAACACUCAUUGUCUGCCAAAAUUUUUGUUCGAUGCGGGAAACAUUUCUGACAAUAUUACUUUCAUAAACUAUUUGUGGUAAAAAAAAAAUGAUCUGUUCAGGGCUA